UUUAUAAAAGCGGACAUAUUUCAUAUAAACCGAACGACAUUCAUGCAAACGCGAUAGCUUUUCAUUAGAUUUUGAAUAUUUAGAACAAAACAACCGUUCUGACCUCACCCUAAACCUAUCGUACGACGACGUCCGGCAUUCAAAUCCUUGUCGUCCUUCAUCCGUCAUCUUCAUGAGCACCGGCGAUAAGACCGAUGAAAUAAAGCUGCGGUCUCCGGUGAGAAAGAGUAAAAAC
rnacentral:lncRNA from 1 species